rnacentral:sRNA from 1 species
CUUCUUUCACCCCAUGCUUUUCUUCUUGCACCCCACAUGUGAAGGAGGUGCAGCUACGCAAAGCCAAAUAUGUAUGAUAUAGGGUUUUUAACUUAAUCAAAAUCCAAACAAUAUGGGUGUUGCUCCCUCCACCACCAUCCCUUGCUCCCUCCACUACCUCAUUUUUGUUUUACUCCUCUUUUUAUUUUUUCAUUCCUAUUUUGCUCUUAGUAAAAUUUUAUGGUUAAUAAUUUUUAACCUCUACCCACUUCAAUCAUCUACAUAAUUGUGGUCUUAGAACGUGGUGGACUUUCAUUAGCUGGUGUGCUUAGUGAGAGAUUGCAAGUGGUGGUGGAAGUCAUUGAUCAACCGUGCCAAGAUCGAUGUGUGGUGGUGCUUGAAGGAUUCAUUGUGAAGGUGCGUAAUAAACCCUAAAAAAAUAAACGUAUAAUCUUUAAACGGAUGUGAGCAUCCCUCAACGGAUGUUAACAUCCGUUUAUGGGAAAACAGAUGUCGAUAUCCGUUUUGUCUUAAACGGAUAUUGACAUCUGUUUUGUCUUAAACGGAUAUUGACAUCUGUUUUGCCUUAAACGAAUGAUGACAUC